AACUGAUGAUGUACUGAGGAAAUGCCCUUUCCUAAGUCUGGCUUCACAUUUUUAAGGAGAGGUUGAUGUAAUCCAUCCAUUUGCUGUGAACCUGUGCCAGUGCCAGUGAGAGGGCUGUAACCACACACAUCUGAACGUGAUCAAGCUGAGGAUGAAAAUCUCCAAUGGCCAAAAGUACUCUAUGGCAACGAAACACUGGGAUUUGGUCUACCAGAUAUUAACCUCUGUGCUGUGUUAGUCCUGCUGCCCCAUAUCUGGAGGGACUGAGGACCAUUUCAUUACAGUGGAGCAGGUAUGGAUGUGAACCGGAAGUUCCUACCCAGCUUUUACCCUCAAUCAACAAUGUCCAGAAGAUGUCCAUACCAGGAAUGUUACAGUUUCAGUCAAG